rnacentral:lncRNA from 1 species
GUAAAGCCUAAGCUUUUUGGAUAUCGUUUGGUUCAUAAAUAAGUAGGAAUUACUUAUUUUUGGGAUGGGCACAACUUUUAGAAAUAAGUAGAAACAAAACUAAUUUUUAAUUAAAUAAAAAUUACGUUGUUCCUGAAAAUAAGAUAAACAUUAUUUGGAUGGUUAGAUUAGAAUAACAAAAAUAAAAGUAAUUAUAAUUUUAAAUUAACAAUAUUUUAUCUAAUUAAUUAAUAUUAAAAAUUAAUGAAAAAAAAAUAAUUUAACAAAUAAAUUUAUUAGCUAUGAAUAUUAAUAAAAAAUAUACUAAUUAAUUAAUAAUGAAAUAUAACUUAUUUUUUUAAUUAAUUA